GGGUGAGUAACGCGUGAGAAUCUGCCUUGGGGUCGGGGACAACCACUGGAAACGGUGGCUAAUACCGGAUACGCCUUCGGGUAAAAGAUUUAUUGCCCUAAGAGGAGCUCGCGUCUGAUUAGCUAGUUGGUGAGGUAAGAGCUCACCAAGGCAGCGAUCAGUAGCUGGUCUGAGAGGACGAUCAGCCACACUGGGACUGAGACACGGCCCAGACUCCUACGGGAGGCAGCAGUGGGGAAUUUUCCGCAAUGGGCGAAAGCCUGACGGAGCAAGACCGCGUGAGGGAGGAAGGCUCUUGGGUUGUAAACCUCUUUUCUCAGGGAAGAAGCUCUGACGGUACCUGAGGAAUCAGCCUCGGCUAACUCCGUGCCAGCAGCCGCGGUAAUACGGAGGAGGCAAGCGUUAUCCGGAAUUAUUGGGCGUAAAGCGUCCGCAGGUGGCGAUUCAAGUCUGCUGUCAAAGCACGGGGCUUAACUCCGUAAAGGCAGUGGAAACUGAAUAGCUAGAGUGCCGUAGGGGUAGAGGGAAUUCCCGGUGUAGCGGUGAAAUGCGUAGAGAUCGGGAAGAACAUCGGUGGCGAAAGCGCUCUACUGGACGGCAACUGACACUCAGGGACGAAAGCUAGGGGAGCGAAUGGGAUUAGAUACCCCGGUAGUCCUAGCUGUAAACGAUGGAUACUAGGUGUAGCUUGUAUCGACCCGAGCUGUGC
rnacentral:rRNA from 1 species